UUAUUUGAGAGUUUGAUCCUGGCUCAGGAUGAACGCUGGCGGCGUGCCUAACACAUGCAAGUUGAGCGAUUUACUUCUGUAAAGAGCGGCGGACUUGUGAGUAACGCGUGGGUAACCUACCC
rnacentral:rRNA from 1 species